rnacentral:lncRNA from 1 species
CUGCCGCUAGACUUGACAGGGCUUCUACUUACACUUCUAGCCCUCACUGGACUCCUACUAGGGCUUCUCCUCUGCAGUGACCUUCCUGAACUUCGACUAAUGCUUCUUCUUUUUUCCUUGACUGGACUUCUACUGAGGCUUAUUCGAGUAGGAGCCUUCUCCAGGCUCCCACUAGGAAUUCUCUCCUGCAGAGACCUUACAGAGCUUCCACUUACACUUCUGCUGUGAACUUUAACUGGGCUUUUGGCUUUGCUUCUCUCAGUCUGGCCAACAGGACUUAUACU